rnacentral:tRNA from 1 species
GCACCCGUGGUGAAAUGGAUAUCACACAGCGCUUCGGACGCUGCAUUGGGGGUUCGAAUCCCUCCGGGUGCA